rnacentral:rRNA from 1 species
UACGUAGGGGGCAAGCGUUGUCCGGAAUUACUGGGCGUAAAGGGCGCGUAGGCGGAUAGUUUAGUCAGAGGUGAAAGCCCAGGGCUCAACCUUGGAAUUGCCUUUGAUACUGGCUAUCUUGAGUUCGGGAGAGGUGAGUGGAAUGCCGAGUGUAGAGGUGAAAUUCGUAGAUAUUCGGCGGAACACCAGUGGCGAAGGCGACUCACUGGCCCGAUACUGACGCUGAGGCGCGAAAGCGUGGGGAGCAAACAGGG